AUUUUCUUAUACUUUAAAUUAAGCGUAUAAAUAGUGUUUUCACAACUUUAAAGCACAAAGUUAAGCAAUUAAUUGAUGUAGGCUUUGCACAUUUCAUUAUGAAAAACUAUUAUCUUGUGAAUAAGUUUAACUCAUUUUAAUUUUGUUAUAAAAUACAUUAUUUUUUUUAUUUUCCCUCUUAAAUGAUAACAGUAAGCAGCAAACAAAACAUAGUAAAUUAACAAUCAAAAUAUAAAGCUUAUAACAAAAACUAGGUUGCUUUUAGUCAAUGUUUACUGCUUUAUUUGAAGUUGGCCCCAGCAAGGUUAGCUAGGAUGUUAAGUAAUUUGAUUUUAGUUGUGACUCCUUCAAGGUAAAUAUAACACAGACUGUAGUUUCUAUAAAAGUCAUUAUUAUUGCAAUAUUAAAGUUAAAUUCAUGGCUCAAAAUAUUCAGGGUGAGAAAUGACUGACAACUAACGACUAAACAAUGUUUGUAUUAAGAAAAACUGAUCUGGGCACUGUUAUAAGGGUGAAGUAGUGUUUUUUACAAUUUGACAGAUACAUAAGCAUAUUCAGCCAGUAGUGGUCCUUUAGCGCCUACAAACAAACCAAUUUCCUAAUGCGAAGUUGCGCCAGAACGUAGCUACUUUAGCAGAUGUAUUAAAUAAAAUGAUAUGGGCCAGCUACAAAAGAGCUAAGCGCUUUCAAAGCCCUCUUAGCAUAGCAGAAAGUGCCAUACAAGCGACCACCACCAUUUAGCGGCUUGGAAGUUGACUUACCACACUUAUACAACCUAGUGCAGCACGUGGGUGGCCUGAAGAAAA